rnacentral:rRNA from 1 species
CAGUCGGCCGCGGGAAUACGAAGGGGGCUAGCGUUGCUCGGAAUGACUGGGCGUAAAGGGCGCGUAGGCGGAUGGCACAGUCAGAUGUGAAAUUCCCGGGCUUAACCUGGGGGCUGCAUUUGAUACGUGUUGUCUGGAGUGAGGAAGAGGGUCGUGGAAUUCCCAGUGUAGAGGUGAAAUUCGUAGAUAUUGGGAAGAACACCGGUGGCGAAGGCGGCGACCUGGUCCUUUACUGACGCUGAGGCGCGAAAGCGUGAGGAGCAAACAGGAUUAGAUACCCCCGUAGUCCCUGUCUCUUAUA